rnacentral:rRNA from 1 species
AUUGAACGCUGGCGGCAGGCUUAACACAUGCAAGUCGAACGAGUGGCGGACGGGUGAGUAAUGUCUGGGAACCUGCCUGAUGGAGGGGGAUAACUACUGGAAACGGUAGCUAAUACCGCAUACUAUCGGCUCUGCCCAUAUUGGCUUAGCUAGUAGGUGGGGUAAAGGCUCACCUAGGCGACGAUCCCUAGCUGGUCUGAGAGGAUGGCCGCCGACACUGGAACUGAACCACGGUCCAGGUUCCGACGGGAGGCAGCAGUGGGGAAUAGUGCACAAUGGGGGCAAGCCUGAUGCAGCCAUGCCGCGUGUAAGAAGAAGGCCUUCGGAUUGUAAAGCACGUUAAGGUGGUGGGCGUUACCAACAGAAUAAGCACCGGCUAACUUCGUGCCAGCCGCCGCGGUAAUUC